rnacentral:rRNA from 1 species
CAGUAGACGUGUGAAUCAUCGAAUCUUUGAACGCACUUUGCACCUCGUGGCUCCUGUCACGAGGUAUACUUGUUUGAGUAUCCGUAACCAUCUCACCUCUCCCUCGGGGCGGUGGACACUGGGAUUCGAUAAGCAAAAGCGAGUCGUCUCUUGAAAAGUAUGGCCCGUCCGUGGAAGGUCUCCGCUGGGACCUGAUCGACCAUUUGGAUAAUGUCCUACAAUUGUCGUGUCAGGGUCAACUAAGGCGUUGACCCACCUUGGCCACCCGGAUCAAGCAGGUACCUCCACUGGUGCCUGUGAGAUCACCUACCACUUACAACUGGAUCUCAAAUCAAGUAAGGAUACCCGCUGAACUUAAGCAUAUCAAUAAGCGGAGG